UGUUAAAUAAGAUCUUUCUACAUGACAGAGUUUAGACAGAGUGAAGGGAGUGAAGAGGUGGAAGCAGUUCUUCUGUCAUUCAAUAUUUUUCUUGAUUAGCAUCAAAUUCAUAAUGAAUAUCCAUCAUGUUCUGGUCUUCUGCUUCUUAUCAGGUACAACUGGGUUUGUUAAAGCCAGCAUUUGGAUUGUACCUGAAGGAGGGAAUGUAUCACUAUAUAAUUACUUCACUGUGUCUGGAAACACAAAGUUCUUCUGUAAGGAAAAAUGUGAGCGAGCAGAAAACAUCCUCAUUAAAACAGAUGGAACCACAGCUCAGAGCGGCAGAUUCAGCAUUGAAUACAAAAAUGCAUCUUCAGGAAGAGGAGAGCUGACUAUGAAAAUCACACAUACGACCAAGUCUGACUCAAGAAUGUACCGGUUUGGUUUGGGUAAAUCUUCAGCUCCAGAUUCGUACUCAGAUCUUGAGGUCAGAGUUUCAAAUGAAUUUGAUAAAAGCUCUAGAAUCUUCCGUGCGCAGACUGAGGGAGAAGAAAUCUCAUUUGGAUGUGCCAAUGCUGUCCAUGGACAGAGGAAGUUCCUUUGUAAGAAUCUGUGUGAAAAAGAAGGAAAUAUUUUCAUUGACACAACUAAUGACAAAGCUGAGAAUGGCAGGUACAGCAUCGAAUACACAAAAGGAUCUGCGUUUGGACUUCAAGCAACCAUCAGACAGCUGACCAAGUCUGACACGGGACAGUACCGGUGUGGUUACGGCGACCCUUUGUCUCCUGAUUCAUACCACACUGAUAAUAUUUUUGUCGUAGAGGCGACUGCUGGUUUUAGUCACAUUGUCAAUCCAUGUUUUCACGGUGAAAGUAAAGACUAUGACACAGAAGAUGACAUGGGAAGAAUACUGUGAUGAUAUAAUGAAUAAAGAAAAUGGGGGAAACAGGAGCAUGGAUGGAGCCAGGGAAGAAGCUGGCCCAAAUGGUGGCCAAGCUGGUGGCCACGCAGCAGGAGCAGACCUGCGGUGUCUCGCUGCUGGUGGGAAGAACUGCAGGACCGAUCUGAGCGCCAGAUGCAGCGGAUCGGGAGUCUGGCAGCCCAGAUUCCUGAUCUACACUGCCGCCAACCCCACCCGUGACCCUCCACUGCACGGGACCCAUGCUGGCCCCCAGAGUGAGGCCAGUCAGGAUGCAGCCUGCCUCUGCACUGGUCCCCACUCCUCCGGCGGGAGUGGGUGGUGCCCAGCAGGGGCUGGUGUUGUGUCAAAAAGUGAUUGUUUGCCAAAAACUGAUUUCCGAUGUUUCUGUGUAUUUUUUAUGUGUAAUAUCUUUACGUAUGUUGGUAAAUAGACUUCGGUGAACAGGGUUUACAAAGGGGUUUUAUGAUCUGUUUUUUCAAGUAUCUUUAUAACUCUGUGUUAUUGUAUUUACAUUAUAACCAAUCCGGUCCUUUAUCCCCACUUAAAAUAUUUUUACAGAAUUAUUGUAAUAUUUGGCCAGCUCACUCUUACAAAAGACAUUUUUAAUGUUAAUGAGAUUUUUUUUAACUGCAUAAAUAAAGGAUAUAUUAAAAGUCACUGCCAAAAACUGAUUGCGGCUUCUACCUUGUUACACGAAUGUUGUUUGUGGCUCAAGAUGAGUUUAUGUCAUCCAUGAGGGAUGCAUUUGACAUAUGUUUCACAUAUUAUAGCCCAGCAAGUUACUUCUAGCAGUUUAAAUACGAGCAAUCAGUUUUUGGCAAAUACCGGAAAUCAGUUUUUGGCAGACAAUCACUUUUUGGCACAACACCCCGGCACCUGUUCCUGCUUCCCAGAGGAUGGCCACUGAGCAACUGCCUGGCUCACCACCAACUCACCCACCUGCUCAGCCCAAGCUGGAGAUCAGUGCAGAGAGCAUGCAGGAGGAACCUGCUACGCCAUCGCCAGAGGUCGGGGCGCACGAGGCACCUUCGGCAGUCGAAGUUGAAGGUUGAGGCUCAUGAGGCAAUUCGCGAGGGUCCCGCUAUGCCUGGGGUCGCCGUGCCGGCCGGUCAGGGGAGACAGACGCACCUGAGCAGCAUCCGCAAUCACGCCAUCUGUAAUCAUGCCUCGCCGGCUUAAAGUGUGGGUUAACUCCUGGGUUAUUGUUGUUGUUGGCGGAGAGUGAGCUACGAGCUGGAAAGCUGCAGCUGUAGCCUGCGAGUGUGUGUGCAGCAAAGGUGAGUGUAAUAAAGAGAUGCUGACAAGCAUGCAAACAUCGUCGAGUCUGCCGUGGUUCAAUUACAGUGACAGAAGGAGUGCAUGGUGUCGCACAUUCAGAGACUUUUCCUACUGCUAUUAAUUUAAACGAGAUCAACAUCCAAAGGUGCCACAUCUUAUUCUGAUCACGCACCUUUGGUCCUGUUCCCUGACAGAGCAAGCUGCUGAUCAGAAGUAAAUCAGCAGUUUUUAAUUUGAUACUUGUAGUUAUUGGAUGAAACUGAUCAAAUAUAUGUUGUGCAUCUCAGCUUUUAUCUUUUUUAUGUUUUAUUUUCAGUUAUCUGUCACAUAUGAAAACUGGGGUCCAACAACCAAAUAUUAAGACUUCAGAAGUACCAGGAUCAAACCUACUCUGCAUUUAUAGCUCCUGAAGGUCCUGUUAUUCCCACCUGCACUGCAUGCUACAAUAUAUUGCCAUGGACUGUGAAUUUGUGCAGAAACCAGCUUAUUGAUUCAACUAUCUUGGCAUUCAUGUGGAACACCACUGAUGGGAUGAGAGUUGGAUCCAUUCCUUAAGCCGUUUUAGUCGUUUUUAUUUGAAGGCUCCACAGUUCAAUUCAAUUUUAUUUACACUGCGCCAAAGGCACCUCAUGGUGCUUUAUUUUGUAAGGUAGACCCUAUAUUAAUACAUACAGAGAAAAACCCAACAGUCAUAUGACCAAUGUUCCCUCUAAGCUGCGCACUGCUGGCACGGUCUCUGUGCACAGAAAAUCUGUGUUGCGCACAAAGAAAAAAUCAAACCUGAAUUGAAAUUAAAAUUAAAACUUCUACAAUUCUGUUUUGCAGUGCUAGUCAGUGAGUGACUGGCUGCUCCCGUAUGGGAUUAGAACGAUGCCACCUUAUCCCCAGCCAAUAAUGCGAUUCACAUUCGUAUAUAGGCAGCUAGUCGUCGACAGGCUAUGACAGCGUCCUUAUGUGCCGACACCGGUGUUUUAGCUAGCAAAGCGGCGUGGCUGAUGUGGAGUGAAGCCACGUUAAUGACAACGUGUCCAACCAUUGGAGAUGUGAGCAGGACAGACGGAACAAUUGAGGGAAAAAGUGUGGACUUUAUACCAGUUUUUAAAUUGUGUUGAUCGGCCACGUAAAACCAGAGUUAUGAUAAAAAUAUCUGCAAUGCUUGGUUUUCUUCCUGAAUACUGUCGUUGUUUAUAUUUACUGCGGGAAGAAACGUUUUAUAAGGAAAACGCUCCAAAGCACUCUCCGCCUGUGAGCAAAAACAAAACCAAAACACCCCCCACCCUUUCCUAUUGGUCGAAAAAAGUACCAUGUCGACCAAUCAAAAAAUGAUAUGGCAAGUUGUUAAGAGAUGGGGAGAAGUUUUAGGAGUGACGGCGGUGUUUUGAGAUGUGAGAGAUUUGCGACGUUUAGCACAAAUCUUGUGUAGUUAGUGUGUAGUUAGUGUGUAGUGUAGUCAAUAGUUUUGUUGUGUGUGUCAGAACAAUGAGGCGACUGCUGAAUGUUACAGGUGUUACAGCAGUGAUACAUCUCCUGUUGUCAGGCCUGCAGGUAUCAGGCUGUUGUUCUCCUUUAUCUCAUAGUGGACAGAAAUUAUUUUUUGGAGUGGCACAAAUAAUUUGUGUGGCAUCAGAUUUGAUGCAGAACAGCUGAUUGUUCUGUAAAUAUUUUGAAAAGUUUAUUUAAAAAACGCCUUGGCUGCAUUUAAAAAAUAAAUAAAUAGCUGCAAAAAACUUUGUUGUUUGCCAAACUCUACUCUACUUACUUUUUUGAAGAAGUAACUAUAUAAUUAAUUGCCCAACAUUGGUCAUUAUAUCCUGUAUUUUGCAGACAGAGUUACAGGACUCUCUCCCAGACCACAGACUCAUAAUACAAGUCAGAGCUUUAUUAAAAAAAAAAAGAAGAAGAAAGUUGUGUUUUCAAAAUUCGAGUUCAAGUUAUUUUUACUUCCAAUAGUGUUAACAUACUACACAGGUCAAUGACUACAUUUUUGUUUUACAUUUUCAUUGUAAGUGGGCUAAAGCAGUUAAUUAAAAGUAGUCGAACAUAAAUGUAAAUGCUGUGAUUUGAUUAUCUUAAUAAACCAUGUAACUUGUAUGGAUUUGAUGCUGGCGUGAUGUAGAAAUGUUUAGCUUAUUUUAGAGUUUAGACAUGUAGGAAUGUUUAGUUUGCUUUAGAGUUUAGAAAUGUGUUAAGAUAGAAUGUAGAAUUAUGGUAGAGACACUGACACUGCCCUGGAUAUAAACAAAGGCCUGAUUGUGUCAUGAGCUUAGAAGUAGAUUUGUAACUGGAUAACUGUGGUCUGGAGGGAGAUGGUAUUUAUGGCCCCUAGGAAGAGACACAUACCCACAGUGUUUUAACUGAUAUACUCCCACACCUAUAUGCACACUCACUCACGUGCACGCACAUACCAGGUAUGCACACACAGUCACUCACAAGCACUCACAUAGACACGCGGUACCCACACACAGGCACUCACGUGCUCGUGCACAUAGACACAGACACAGAGUUUGCAGCACACUGUGGGGGAUUUAUGAUGGGGUCGCCUCUAUAAAGCUGCCUGGAACUAACAAAGGGGUGAAGAUUGUUUCAGAGGGACACCGGCCUCGUCUUCCCUUCUAGAAGUGCAUGCUUAAAUGAAGAUGAAUAAAGAUUUUGUAAAAUAACUACUGAGUUCCGGUGCCAUUUCUGGAUCCCUCGACGAAUAAAAGAACCGGGGUAAAAACUGAUUUCGCAACAGUGACCACAGUGCACACGUCUGGUGUUGCUCACAGUGGUCCAAGGGAUCGCUCAGGGAGUUUGUGUGUUCGCUCAGACACAUGGAAAGUUAGAGGGAACAUUGCAUAUGACCCCCUAUGAGCAAGCACUUUGGCGACAGUGGGAAGGAAAAACUCCUUUAACAGGAAGAAACCUCCGGCAGAACCAGGCUCAGGGAGGGGCGGGGCCAUCUGCUGCGACCGGUUGGGGUGAGAGAAGGAAGACAGGAUAAAGACAUGCUGUGGAAGAGACAGAGAUUAAUAAUAACUAAUGAUUAAUAUUCCGAGAGGUGUAUAAAGACAUACUGACUGAAGAAGAAACACCCAGUGCAUCAUGGGAAUCCCCGGCAGCCUACGUCUAUUGCAGCAUAACUAAGGGAGGAUUCAGGGUCACCUGGUCCAGCCCUAACUAUAUGCUUUAGCAAAAAGGAAAGUUUGAAGCCUAAUCUUGAAAGCAGAGAUAGUGUCUGUCUCCUGAAUCCAAACUGGAAGCUGGUUCCACAGAAGAGGGGCCUGAAAACUGAAGGCUCUGCCUCCCAUUCUACUUUUAAAUACUCUAGGAACAACAAGUAGGCCUGCAGAGCGAGAGCGAAGUGCUCUAAUAGGGUGAUAUGGUACUACAAG
ensembl:lncRNA